UACGAAAGGUGCGAGCGUUAAUCGGAAUUACUGGGCGUAAAGCGUGCGUAGGCGGCUAUUUAAGUCGGAUGUGAAAUCCCCGGGCUUAACCUGGGAACUGCAUUUGUGACUGCAAGACUAGAGUACGGCAGAGGGGGGUAGAAUUCCACGUGUAGCAGUGAAAUGCGUAGAUAUGUGGAGGAAUACCGAUGGCGAAGGCAGCCCCCUGGGUCGAUACUGACGCUCAUGCACGAAAGCGUGGGGGGCAAACAGG
rnacentral:rRNA from 1 species